rnacentral:tRNA from 1 species
AUCCCUGUAGCGCAAUGCAUAUCGUGUUGGACUUCUAAUCCAAGGGUCGUGGGUUCAAGUUGCACGUGGGAUG